rnacentral:rRNA from 1 species
CUUUCAACAACGGAUCUCUUGGUUCUGGCAUCGAUGAAGAACGCAGCAAAAUGCGAUAAGUAAUGUGAAUUGCAGAAUUCAGCGAAUCAUCGAAUCUUUGAACGCACAUUGCGCCCCCUGGCAUUCCGGGGGGCAUGUCUGUCCGAGCGUC